rnacentral:rRNA from 1 species
GAUGAACGCUGGCGGCGUGCUUAACACAUGCAAGUCGAACGGACUUUACAUGAAGCCUAGCGAUUGUAAAGUUAGUGGCGGACGGGUGAGUAACGCGUGGGUAACCUGCCCUACACAGGGGGACAACAGUUGGAAACGACUGCUAAUACCGCAUAAGCGCACAGUACCGCAUGGUACAGUGUGAAAAACUCCGGUGGUAUGAGAUGGACCUGCGUCUGAUUAGCUAGUUGGUGAGGUAACGGCCCACCAAGGCGACGAUCAGUAGCCGACCUGAGAGGGUGACCGGCCACAUUGGGACUGAGACACGGCCCAAACUCCUACGGGAGGCAGCAGUGGGGGAUAUUGCGCAAUGGGGGCAACCCUGACGCAGCAACGCCGCGUGCGGGAAGAAGGUCUUCGGAUUGUAAACCGUUGUCGCAAGGGAAGAAGACAGUGACGGUACCUUGUGAGAAAGCCACGGCUAACUACGUG